AUGGCGGCCGCCGCAGGCGACGGCGGCAGCGUCCCGCCGAAGACCCCAAUAGCGGAGGCGCCUCCCGCUUCUCGGCCGCACGUGACCCGCAAUGCCAUGCCGUGGCAGAAAUGCGUCGCCGGCGUUCAAUUGGCUCUCAAAGAUCCGAAGGUGGUGUUCCUGAGGGAGCAGAUCGAGAAAGCCGGGUGCACCGUAUGGCCGACGCUUUUCCGGGCGGCCAUCUGCACGUCCAGCGGGAACUACGCAAGCGGCGUGGGGGUACAAGUUUGCUGUAAUCACAUGCGAAGGCAAGAUGAGAUAAAUCAGGUCAUAAUUCAUGAGUUAGUACAUGCUUAUGAUGACUGUGUUGUCAAGAACAUCGACUGGAAAAACUGCGCUCACCAGGCUUGCUCUGAGAUUCGAGCUAAUCAUCUUAGUGGCAAUUGCCAUUACAAACGUGAACUGAUGAAAGGCUUCCUGAAGAUAAAGGGGCAUGAGCCAGAAUGUGUCAAAAGACGUGCGCUGCUUUCUGUCAAGAACAACCCGCACUGUUCAGAAAAGGCUGCAGAAGCUGCAGUUGAGAAGGUGUGGGAUAUGUGCUACAACGACCCACGCCCGUUUGAUAAGGCUCUAUGA
rnacentral:rRNA from 1 species